rnacentral:tRNA from 1 species
AGUCCCGUGGUGUAAUCACAUAGGAAUGCAAAUCCUGAGAGGUAGAGUAGAGUCUACCGGGACUU